AUAAUGGAGAGUUUGAUUCUGGCUCAGAACGAACGCUGGCGGCGCGUCUUAAACAUGCAAGUCGCACGGGAUCCCUGAUGCUUGCAUUAGGGUGAGAGUGGCGAACGGGUGAGUAACACGUGGAUAAUCUACCCUCAGGUUGGGGAUAACUCCGGGAAACUGGAGCUAAUACCGAAUAAGAUGGUAGGAACGCAAGUUCCAGCCAUUAAAGGUGGGGACCGCAAGGCCUAUCGCCUGAGGAUGAGCCCGCGGCCCAUUAGCUAGUUGGU
rnacentral:rRNA from 1 species